AUUGAACGCUGGCGGCAGGCCUAACACAUGCAAGUCGAACGAGUGGCGGAGGGGUGAGUAAUGUGUGGGAAAGUGCGAGAUGGAGGGGGAUAACUACUGGACAGGGUAUCAAAUCGCGCAUACCCUCGGAUGCGCCGAGAUGGGAUUAGCUAGUAGGUGGGGUAAGGGUUCCCCUAGGCGAAGAUCCCUAGCGGGUCUGAGAGGAAGACCAGCCACACUGGAACUGAGACACGGUCCAGACUCCUACGGGAGGCAGCAGUGGGGAAUAUUGCACAAUGGGCGCAAGCCUGAUGCAGCCAUGCCGCGUGUAUGAAGAAGGCCUUCGGGUUGUAAAGUACUUUCAGCGGGGAGGCGUUACCCGCAGAAGAAGCACCGGCUAACUCCGUGCCAGCCGCCGCGGUAAUUC
rnacentral:rRNA from 1 species